GACGAACGCUGGCGGCGUGCUUAACACAUGCAAGUCGAACGGAAAGGCCCUGCUUUUGUGGGGUGCUCGAGUGGCGAACGGGUGAGUAACACGUGAGUAACCUGCCCUUGACUUUGGGAUAACUUCAGGAAACUGGGGCUAAUACCGGAUAGGAGCUCCGGCUGCAUGGGGGGGGUUGGAAAGUUUCGGCGGUUGGGGAUGGACUCGCGGCUUAUCAGCUUGUUGGUGGGGUAGUGGCUUACCAAGGCUUUGACGGGUAGCCGGCCUGAGAGGGUGACCGGCCACAUUGGGACUGAGAUACGGCCCAGACUCCUACGGGAGGCAGCAGUGGGGAAUAUUGCACAAUGGGCGGAAGCCUGAUGCAGCAACGCCGCGUGCGGGAUGACGGCCUUCGGGUUGUAAACCGCUUUCGCCUGUGACGAAGCGUGAGUGACGGUAAUGGGUAAAGAAGCACCGGCUAACUACGUG
rnacentral:rRNA from 1 species